UACGAAGGGGGCUAGCGUUGCUCGGAAUUACUGGGCGUAAAGCGUACGUAGGCGGCUUUGUAAGUUAGAGGUGAAAGCCUGAUGCUCAACAUCAGAAUUGCCUUUAAGACUGCAUCGCUUGAAUCGUGGAGAGGUAAGUGGAAUUCCGAGUGUAGAGGUGAAAUUCGUAGAUAUUCGGAAGAACACCAGUGGCGAAGGCGGCUUACUGGACACGUAUUGACGCUGAGGUACGAAAGCGUGGGGAGCAAACAGG
rnacentral:rRNA from 1 species